UAACCUGCCUGUAAGACUGGGAUAACUCCGGGAAACCGGAGCUAAUACCGGAUAGUUCCUUGAACCGCAUGGUUCAAGGAUGAAAGACGGUUUCGGCUGUCACUUACAGAUGGACCCGCGGCGCAUUAGCUAGUUGGUGGGGUAAUGGCUCACCAAGGCGACGAUGCGUAGCCGACCUGAGAGGGUGAUCGGCCACACUGGGACUGAGACACGGCCCAGACUCCUACGGGAGGCAGCAGUAGGGAAUCUUCCGCAAUGGACGAAAGUCUGACGGAGCAACGCCGCGUGAGUGAUGAAGGUUUUCGGAUCGUAAAGCUCUGUUGUUAGGGAAGAACAAGUGCGAGAGUAACUGCUCGCACCUUGACGGUACCUAACCAGAAAGCCACGGCUAACUACGUGCCAGCAGCCGCGGUAAUACGUAGGUGGCAAGCGUUGUCCGGAAUUAUUGGGCGUAAAGGGCUCGCAGGCG
rnacentral:rRNA from 1 species